rnacentral:rRNA from 1 species
GGACUACUAGGGUAUCUAAUCCCAUUCGCUCCCCUGGCUUUCGUUCCUCAGUGUCAGUUAUGGCCCAGUAAGUCGCCUACGCCACCGGUGUUCUUCCUGAUAUCUACGCAUUUCACCGCUCCACCAGAAAUUCCACUUACCUCUACCACACUCAAGUCUGCCAGUAUCCAAUGCACUCCCGAGGUUGAGCCCCGAUCUUUAACAUCAGACUUAACAAACCACCUACGAACUCUUUACGCCCAAUAAAUCCGGACAACGCUUGCAUCCUACGUCUUACCGCGGCUGCUGGCAC